rnacentral:rRNA from 1 species
UGGGGAAUAUUGGACAAUGGGCGAAAGCCUGAUCCAGCCAUGCCGCGUGUGUGAAGAAGGUCUUCGGAUUGUAAAGCACUUUAAGUUGGGAGGAAGGGCAGUAAGCGAAUACCUUGCUGUUUUGACGUUACCGACAGAAUAAGCACCGGCUAACUCCGUGCCAGCAGCCGCGGUAAUACAGAGGGUGCAAGCGUUAAUCGGAAUUACUGGGCGUAAAGCGCGCGUAGGUGGUUCGUUAAGUUGAAUGUGAAAGCCCCGGGCUCAACCUGGGAACUGCAUCCAAAACUGGCGAGCUGGAGUAGGGCAGAGGGUGGUGGAAUUUCCUGUGUAGCGGUGAAAUGCGUAGAUAUAGGAAGGAACACCAGUGGCGAAGGCGACCACCUGGGCUCAUACUGACACUGAGGUGCGAAAGCGUGGGGAGCAAACAGG